CUUUCCAUGGUUGCAACUAUCAAAUCAAGAAACCGAGAGUUAGAGAAGCUAAGUAAAUUGCCCAAAGUGACACAGAGAAGUCAGUAACUGGCCUGUCAAAAUGAAUGAGAUUGAGAUCAAGGAAGUCAACACAAGCAGGGGAAACAAUUUCCAAAAUCUCAAGAGUGGAAUCCAAAGUGACAUUAAAUUGAAGAGUUACAGAGGCAGUGUAAUUGGCAGUGGAGGGAGAGAACCAGCAAUGUAAUAAAAAAGAAAACGGAACUCAGAU